GCCGAAGUGGCGGAACUGGUAGACGCGCUAGGUUCAGGGUCUAGUGCCCGCAGGGGUGUGCGAGUUCGAGUCUCGCCUUCGGCACCA
rnacentral:tRNA from 1 species